rnacentral:rRNA from 1 species
UUUAUGGAGAGUUUGAUCCUGGCUCAGAGUGAACGCUGGCGGCGUGCCUAAUACAUGCAAGUCGAACGAUGAAGCUUCUAGCUUGCUAGAAUGCUGAUUAGUGGCGCACGGGUGAGUAACGCAUAGGUUAUGUGCCUCUUAGUUUGGGAUAGCCAUUGGAAACGAUGAUUAAUACCAGAUACUCCCUACGGGGGAAAGAUUUAUCGCUAAGAGAUCAGCCUAUGUCCUAUCAGCUUGUUGGUAAGGUAAUGGCUUACCAAGGCUAUGACGGGUAUCCGGCCUGAGAGGGUGAACGGACACACUGGAACUGAGACACGGUCCAGACUCCUACGGGAGGCAGCAGUAGGGAAUAUUGCUCAAUGGGGGAAACCCUGAAGCAGCAACGCCGCGUGGAGGAUGAAGGUUUUAGGAUUGUAAACUCCUUUUGUUAGAGAAGAUAAUGACGGUAUCUAACGAAUAAGCACCGGCUAACUCCGUGCCAGCAGCCGCGGUAAUACGGAGGGUGCAAGCGUUACUCGGAAUCACUGGGCGUAAAGAGCGCGUAGGCGGGAUAGUCAGUCAGGUGUGAAAUCCUAUGGCUUAACCAUAGAACUGCAUUUGAAACUACUAUUCUAGAGUGUGGGAGAGGUAGGUGGAAUUCUUGGUGUAGGGGUAAAAUCCGUAGAGAUCAAGAGGAAUACUCAUUGCGAAGGCGACCUGCUGGAACAUUACUGACGCUGAUUGCACGAAAGCGUGGGGAGCAAACAGGAUUAGAUACCCUGGUAGUCCACGCCCUAAACGAUGGAUGCUAGUUGUUGGAGGGCUUAGUCUUUCCAGUAAUGCAGCUAACGCAUUAAGCAUCCCGCCUGGGGAGUACGGUCGCAAGAUUAAAACUCAAAGGAAUAGACGGGGACCCGCACAAGCGGUGGAGCAUGUGGUUUAAUUCGAAGAUACACGAAGAACCUUACCUAGGCUUGACAUUGAGAGAAUCCGCUAGAAAUAGUGGAGUGUCUGGCUUGCCAGACCUUGAAAACAGGUGCUGCACGGCUGUCGUCAGCUCGUGUCGUGAGAUGUUGGGUUAAGUCCCGCAACGAGCGCAACCCCCUUUCUUAGUUGCUAACAGGUUAUGCUGAGAACUCUAAGGAUACUGCCUCCGUAAGGAGGAGGAAGGUGGGGACGACGUCAAGUCAUCAUGGCCCUUACGCCUAGGGCUACACACGUGCUACAAUGGGGUGCACAAAGAGAAGCAAUACUGCGAAGUGGAGCCAAUCUUCAAAACACCUCUCAGUUCGGAUUGUAGGCUGCAACUCGCCUGCAUGAAGCUGGAAUCGCUAGUAAUCGCAAAUCAGCCAUGUUGCGGUGAAUACGUUCCCGGGUCUUGUACUCACCGCCCGUCACACCAUGGGAGUUGUGUUUGCCUUAAGUCAGGAUGCUAAAUUGGCUACUGCCCACGGCACACACAGCGACUGGGGUGAAGUCGUAACAAGGUAACCGUAGGUGAACCUGCGGUUGGAUCACCUCCUUUCUA